rnacentral:rRNA from 1 species
CCUACGGGUGAGCAGCAGUGGGGAAUAUUGUACAAUGGGCGCAAGCCUGAUGCAGCCAUGCCGCGUGUAUGAAGAAGGCCUUCGGGUUGUAAAGUACUUUCAGCGGGGAGUAAGGGAGUUAAGUUAAUACCUUUUCUCAUUGACGUUACCCGCAGAAGAAGCACCGCCUAACUCCGUGCCAGCAGCCGCGGUAAUACGGAGGGUGCAAGCGUUAAUCGGAAUUGCUGGGUGUAAAGCGCACGCAGGCGGGUUGUUAAGUCAGAUGUGAAAUCCCCGGGCUCAACCUUGGAACUGCAGCUCGUACUGGCAAGCUUGAGUCCGGUGAAGGCGGGCAGAAUUCCAGGUGUAGCGGUGAAAUGCGUAGAGAUCACGAGGAAUACCUGUGGCGAAGGCGGCCCCCUGGACGAAGACUGACGCUCAGGUGCGAAAGCGUGGGGAGCAAACAGGAUUAGAUACCCCAGUAGUC